rnacentral:rRNA from 1 species
ACGGUCCAGACUCCUACGGGAGGCAGCAGUGGGGAAUAUUGCGCAAUGGGGGAAACCCUGACGCAGCAACGCCGCGUGAGUGAUGAAGGUUUUCGGAUCGUAAAACUCUGUCAUUAGGGACGAUAAUGACGGUACCUAAUGAGGAAGCCACGGCUAACUACGUGCCAGCAGCCGCGGUAAUACGUAGGUGGCAAGCGUUGUCCGGAUUUACUGGGCGUAAAGAGUAUGUAGGUGGGCACUUAAGUCAGAUGUGAAAUUCCCGGGCUUAACCUGGGAGCUGCAUUUGAUACUGGGUGUCUAGAGUGCAGGAGAGGAAAGUGGAAUUCCUAGUGUAGCGGUGAAAUGCGUAGAGAUUAGGAAGAACACCAGUGGCGAAGGCGACUUUCUGGACUGUAACUGACACUGAGAUACGAAAGCGUGGGUAGCAAACAGGAUUAGAUACCCUGGUAGUCCACGCCGUAAACGAUGAAUACUAGGUGUCGGGGGGUACCACCCUCGGUGCCGCAGCAAACGCAUUAAGUAUUCCGCCUGGGGAGUACGGUCGCAAGAUUAAAACUCAAAGGAAUUGACGGGGACCCGCACAAGCAGCGGAGCAUGUGGUUUAAUUCGAAGCAACGCGAAGAACCUUACCUAGACUUGACAUCUCCUGAAUUACUCGUAACUGAGGAAGUCCCUUCGGGGACAGGAAGACAGGUGGUGCAUGGUUGUCGUCAGCUCGUGUCGUGAGAUGUUGGGUUAAGUCCCGCAACGAGCGCAACCCUUAUUAUUAGUUGCUACUAUUAAGUUAAGCACUCUAAUGAGACUGCCGCGGUUAACGUGGAGGAAGGUGGGGAUGACGUCAAAUCAUCAUGCCCCUUAUGUCUAGGGCUACACACGUGCUACAAUGGCUGGUACAACGAGCAGCAAUCCCGUGAGGGGGAGCAAAACUUGAAAGCCAGUCCCAGUUCGGAUUGUAGGCUGAAACUCGCCUACAUGAAGUUGGAGUUGCUAGUAAUCGCGAAUCAGCAUGUCGCGGUGAAUACGUUCCCGGGUCUUGUACACACCGCCCGUCACACCAUGAGAGCCGGUAACACCCGAAGCCCGUGAGGUAACCGUAAGGAGCCAGCGGUCGAAGGUGGGAUUGGUGAUUGGGGUGAAGUCGUAACAAGGUAGCCGUAGGAGAACCUGCGGCUG